rnacentral:rRNA from 1 species
GUCCAUGCCGUAACGAUGUCUACUAGCCGUUGGCUCUUGAGACUUUAGUGGCGCAGCUAACGCGAUAAGUAGACCGCCUGGGAGUACGGUCGCAAGACUAAACUCAAAUGAAUUGACGGGCCGCACAAGCGGUGGAGCAUGUGGUUAAUUCGAUGCAACGCGAAGAACCUUACCUGGUCUUGACAUAGUAAGAACUUUUCCAGAGAUGGAUUGGUGCCUUCGGGAACUUACAUACAGGUGCUGCAUGGCUGUCGU